rnacentral:piRNA from 1 species
UCUUUUACAAUGAACUUGACUUUGACGGC